rnacentral:tRNA from 1 species
GGCUCAUUGGUCUAGUGGUAUGAUUUUUGCUUUAGUUGUAAGAGGCCCCGGGUUCAAAUCCCGGAGGAGCCC